rnacentral:lncRNA from 1 species
CAGGAUAAUUAUAUCCUAGAUUAUUGUUUGGUUCUUCAACAGUCAUGGUUUAGGUACACUGCUUCUUCUUUAUUAAAUGAAACGCAGACUGUCAGUUCCUUGUUUUUAGAGUUGUAGUUGGUAUACUGAUAGGGAGUACAAUUAUAAGAGAAAUGAACAAUAAUGGGGAAAAAAUUCACAUUCAUUACAAAAAAAAAGUAUUUUUAAACAAAAUACCAAAAGGUAUAUGAAAACAAACUUGGGUUUGACAUCGUGAACUUUGCAAAUGGAACAUUCCAGGGAAUCAUCUUAAAAAUUAAAGUAAAGAAAUAUAUACUGUUUAAAUCCUUGAAAAAUCAUCAAAAUAUGAAAAAAUCAAAAUGUGAUACAAAAAAAACCCAAUAAAGUCUGCAAAAAAAAAAAAGAAAAGGAAGCUGACAGUUAAGUUAUGUUUGUUUUUAGAUGGACGAAAAGGAGGGAG